AUACGUAGGUGGCGAGCGUUAUCCGGAAUUACUGGGCGUAAAGCGCACGCAGGCGGCUCAUUAAGUCUGACGUGAAAGCUCCUGGCUUAACUGGGAGAGGUCGUUGGAAACUGUUGUGGCUUGAGGCAAUGAGAGGGGUGCGGAAUUCCCGGUGUAGUGGUGGAAUGCGUAGAUAUCGGGAGGAACACCAGUGGCGAAAGCGGCGCCCUAGCAUUGGCCUGACGCUCAUGUGCGAAAGCGUGGGGAGC
rnacentral:rRNA from 1 species